CACGUACAUAGGACCAGAUAGUGUAGAAAAUCAUAAUUACACACCUGAAAGAUGCCACUCCCAAUCAUUGCUCUCCUCGGCUAAAUAUUGUUGAGGCAAAGAAUUAUUCAGCCUGGAAGUGACCAUGGCAGGUCUCAUGACCAAUCUUCUGCUGAAAUCACUGUCAAUGCUAAAGUCAGAUCAAGUUGAUCAGUUUAAACUAUUUCAUCACAGGAUCAGAAGAGCAGAAGAAAAAGGAAGAAACAUUCUGCUAGCUGUGAAAAUAAAAGCCAGAAUUGGUCACUUCUGACUAGGACUAAAGGCAGAACCACCUACUCAGCUGAAUGCUAGCACCCUGUUUUACAACCCACAGACACGGAUACCUGCAAAGAACAAGUCGUGUUGCUCCAAAAAAUAGAGAAAUUCAUCAUUAAUUUCAGGAAAUUUUAUUCUAAACCUAAUCUCCCGGAGGUUUAAUUUCAAGGAAAUUAAUAUUUGUUCUUGGAGGAAGAAGUAACAAAGAGCAUUUAAAAAAAAAAAAACCAAAAACACAACUAUGUCCAUAAGUAAAUACUUUGAGUAUGUUGAGUUUUAUGUAAAAGCAGUUCAUAGCCUACUGUCAACUUCUUGUCUUUUUUUUUCUCUGAUACAUCUACACUCUGCUAGCCACGCUAAAGUGGCUUAAUAAUUCAGUAAAUAAAUGCAUUCAUUAAUUAUUUAGAAUAGUACCAGAGUAAAAGAAGGAAGCCAGUGUUGUAUCAUAGCCCAUGAAUUUUCUGUUUUUCUAAAAAUUAUCACGAUAGUAUUGACAAGGAAAAUGGAGGAAUAUAUAUUACUGUGGUUUACAAAGUGAGAAAGUGAAUAGGGGCUGUUGUCUGCUCCUGGUGCUGCAGUUGCAGCUGAUUGAAUUUACCUCCUGUUGCUAUAAAUGACCUGACCUUAACAUUUCCACUGUAGCAUCACUCAUAGAAAUGUUAAUGACUUUUCAAUCUCACUUUUUUUAUGUCAGUGUUCUCCCUACAUUCAAGUCAAUGUCUAAGAAUAUAUUAUUAGUCAUAAACUGUAACAGCAGAUGAUCAAUGUUUAAUGUUUACACUACAGACACCUCAAAAUUCUUUAACACCUAACUACAUUUGUAUUAUCAGAUUACCACUGGAAGACUUUUGGACCAGAUUCCACAGCAGUAUAUAUUAUAGCAUUUAAUUCAGUGGCAUUUCAUUGAAAUGCUGAUUGAUAGGAAUUAAAAAUCCAACUCUUAAUGUCAGAGAAGUUACAUUGGAUAUGUGUGUGGUAAGAGUAGAGGGAUGAGGGAUGCCUUUCUGUCUUUUUUAGCAGACCUUAUCUGCUUUUCCAAGAUAGAUUACAGAAAAAAAAAUUGAUAGAAAAAAAAUUGUCUAGGUUUGAAUUAACCCAACAUUUGUGUUAGUUUCUUAUACUAUCAGGAGUUAUAGUCUCACUAUUAGCAGUAAAUAAGACUAUUUAUGUGACAAGUUACCCAGCACCACCCACUCUAAGUUAAGACUAAGCUGUACAUGCACUUUUACUGCACAUUCAUCAACAUAAAAAAAAAAUAACAUGAAUUUUACUCCAUAUCUUCAGUUUUAAUGUGAGAAAGUGACAGUGAUGACAUAGCAGAAAUUCUCAAUCCCAUAAAUAAGUGCCUAUGUUUCCUCGUUGUGUUCUUUUCUGGAUUUAUUAAGUGUGGUAUUCCCACAGCAGGAUUCAGAAAUAAGAUGAGAAAUCCAUUUUUCAUCCAGAAUUACUUGUCCCAUUGAAUAGGAGCAUCGUUCAUUUUAUGAUUUGAAUAGUAUUUAAAAAAUACCUAUCAGUUAUUUAAGCAUACUACUAAGAAACUGUAGUUUGAAUCAAGGUGUUAUUGCAGGUACUUUAUACAAACAGGGGAAAAACAACUCCUCUUGGCUAUCCUAAAAUCUGGUGAAAGACAAAAAGCACAAUCAGAUUCCACAGAAAUUGAAAAGAAGAAAAUGGAGCUAAUUUAGCAAUAACAGAAACACUGUCAGUAAAACAUUAUAUAGCCACAUGCACAAUGUCUGUGUUGCAGACUAAUAUUUAUUUUAUAAUUCUCUUCAUAAAUCAAACAAGCAUUAGGAAAGACUUAUUUGUUGUAAUGUGUGUAAAAACCUUAGUAGUCAUUUUUGCAAACCAUAUUAACAUCUUUGUUAUCUGAUAGGCUGGAGUAAUCAAU
rnacentral:lncRNA from 1 species